rnacentral:rRNA from 1 species
UUAAGCGACUAAGCGUACACGGUGGAUGCCCUGGCAGUCAGAGGCGAUGAAGGACGUGCUAAUCUGCGAUAAGCGUCGGUAAGGUGAUAUGAACCGUUAUAACCGGCGAUUUCCGAAUGGGGAAACCCAGUGUGAUUCGUCACACUAUCAUUAACUGAAUCCAUAGGUUAAUGAGGCGAACCGGGGGAACUGAAACAUCUAAGUACCCCGAGGAAAAGAAAUCAACCGAGAUUCCCCCAGUAGCGGCGAGCGAACGGGGAGCAGCCCAGAGCCUGAAUCAGUGUGUGUGUUAGUGGAAGCGUCUGGAAAGGCGCGCGAUACAGGGUGACAGCCCCGUACACAAAAAUGCACAUGCUGUGAGCUCGAUGAGUAGGGCGGGACACGUGGUAUCCUGUCUGAAUAUGGGGGGACCAUCCUCCAAGGCUAAAUACUCCUGACUGACCGAUAGUGAACCAGUACCGUGAGGGAAAGGCGAAAAGAACCCCGGCGAGGGGAGUGAAAAAGAACCUGAAACCGUGUACGUACAAGCAGUGGGAGCACNGUGUGACUGCGUACCUUUUGUAUAAUGGGUCAGCGACUUAUAUUCUGUAGCAAGGUUAACCGAAUAGGGGAGCCGAAGGGAAACCGAGUCUUAACUGGGCGUUAAGUUGCAGGGUAUAGACCCGAAACCCGGUGAUCUAGCCAUGGGCAGGUUGAAGGUUGGGUAACACUAACUGGAGGACCGAACCGACUAAUGUUGAAAAAUUAGCGGAUGACUUGUGGCUGGGGGUGAAAGGCCAAUCAAACCGGGAGAUAGCUGGUUCUCCCCGAAAGCUAUUUAGGUAGCGCCUCGUGAAUUCAUCUCCGGGGGUAGAGCACUGUUUCGGCAAGGGGGUCAUCCCGACUUACCAACCCGAUGCAAACUGCGAAUACCGGAGAAUGUUAUCACGGGAGACACACGGCGGGUGCUAACGUCCGUCGUGAAGAGGGAAACAACCCAGACCGCCAGCUAAGGUCCCAAAGUCAUGGUUAAGUGGGAAACGAUGUGGGAAGGCCCAGACAGCCAGGAUGUUGGCUUAGAAGCAGCCAUCAUUUAAAGAAAGCGUAAUAGCUCACUGGUCGAGUCGGCCUGCGCGGAAGAUGUAACGGGGCUAAACCAUGCACCGAAGCUGCGGCAGCGACGCUUAUGCGUUGUUGGGUAGGGGAGCGUUCUGUAAGCCUGUGAAGGUGUNAUGCUGGAGGUAUCAGAAGUGCGAAUGCUGACAUAAGUAACGAUAAAGCGGGUGAAAAGCCCGCUCGCCGGAAGACCAAGGGUUCCUGUCCAACGUUAAUCGGGGCAGGGUGAGUCGACCCCUAAGGCGAGGCCGAAAGGCGUAGUCGAUGGGAAACAGGUUAAUAUUCCUGUACUUGGUGUUACUGCGAAGGGGGGACGGAGAAGGCUAUGUUGGCCGGGCGACGGUUGUCCCGGUUUAAGCGUGUAGGCUGGUUUUCCAGGCAAAUCCGGAAAAUCAAGGCUGAGGCGUGAUGACGAGGCACUACGGUGCUGAAGCAACAAAUGCCCUGCUUCCAGGAAAAGCCUCUAAGCAUCAGGUAACAUCAAAUCGUACCCCAAACCGACACAGGUGGUCAGGUAGAGAAUACCAAGGCGCUUGAGAGAACUCGGGUGAAGGAACUAGGCAAAAUGGUGCCGUAACUUCGGGAGAAGGCACGCUGAUAUGUAGGUGAAGUCCCUCGCGGAUGGAGCUGAAAUCAGUCGAAGAUACCAGCUGGCUGCAACUGUUUAUUAAAAACACAGCACUGUGCAAACACGAAAGUGGACGUAUACGGUGUGACGCCUGCCCGGUGCCGGAAGGUUAAUUGAUGGGGUCAGCGCAAGCGAAGCUCUUGAUCGAAGCCCCGGUAAACGGCGGCCGUAACUAUAACGGUCCUAAGGUAGCGAAAUUCCUUGUCGGGUAAGUUCCGACCUGCACGAAUGGCGUAAUGAUGGCCAGGCUGUCUCCACCCGAGACUCAGUGAAAUUGAACUCGCUGUGAAGAUGCAGUGUACCCGCGGCAAGACGGAAAGACCCCGUGAACCUUUACUAUAGCUUGACACUGAACAUUGAGCCUUGAUGUGUAGGAUAGGUGGGAGGCUUAGAAGUGUGGACGCCAGUCUGCAUGGAGCCGACCUUGAAAUACCACCCUUUAAUGUUUGAUGUUCUAACGUUGACCCGUAAUCCGGGUUGCGGACAGUGUCUGGUGGGUAGUUUGACUGGGGCGGUCUCCUCCUAAAGAGUAACGGAGGAGCACGAAGGUUGGCUAAUCCUGGUCGGACAUCAGGAGGUUAGUGCAAUGGCAUAAGCCAGCUUGACUGCGAGCGUGACGGCGCGAGCAGGUGCGAAAGCAGGUCAUAGUGAUCCGGUGGUUCUGAAUGGAAGGGCCAUCGCUCAACGGAUAAAAGGUACUCCGGGGAUAACAGGCUGAUACCGCCCAAGAGUUCAUAUCGACGGCGGUGUUUGGCACCUCGAUGUCGGCUCAUCACAUCCUGGGGCUGAAGUAGGUCCCAAGGGUAUGGCUGUUCGCCAUUUAAAGUGGUACGCGAGCUGGGUUUAGAACGUCGUGAGACAGUUCGGUCCCUAUCUGCCGUGGGCGCUGGAGAACUGAGGGGGGCUGCUCCUAGUACGAGAGGACCGGAGUGGACGCAUCACUGGUGUUCGGGUUGUCAUGCCAAUGGCACUGCCCGGUAGCUAAAUGCGGAAGAGAUAAGUGCUGAAAGCAUCUAAGCACGAAACUUGCCCCGAGAUGAGUUCUCCCUGACUCCUUGAGAGUCCUGAAGGAACGUUGAAGACGACGACGUUGAUAGGCCGGGUGUGUAAGCGCAGCGAUGCGUUGAGCUAACCGGUACUAAUGAACCGUGAGGCUUAACCUU